UGGGGAAUAUUGGGCAAUGGGCGAAAGCCUGACCCAGCAACGCCGCGUGAGUGAUGAAGGCCUUCGGGUUGUAAAACUCUUUGGACAGGGACGAAGAAAGUGACGGUACCUGUAGAACAAGCCACGGCUAACUACGUGCCAGCAGCCGCGGUAAUACGUAGGUGGCGAGCGUUAUCCGGAUUUAUUGGGUUUAAAGGGAGCGUAGGCUGUCUAUUAAGCGUGUUGUGAAAUUUACCGGCUCAACCGGUGGCUUGCAGCGCGAACUGGUCGACUUGAGUAUGCAGGAAGUAGGCGGAAUUCAUGGUGUAGCGAUGAAAUGCUUAGAUAUCAUGACGAACUCCGAUUGCGCAGGCAGCUUACUGUAGCAUAACUGACGCUGAUGCUCGAAAGUGCGGGUAUCAAACAGG
rnacentral:rRNA from 1 species